GUGCAGACUUCAGCAGAACAAAUGUGAAAAUUUGAAACAUACUGAGAUUAUCAUGGCCCCUGUAUAAGGGGUGGCAAUACAUUCAUAAAGAAUUCCAUUACAAA
ensembl:snRNA Gm26355 predicted gene, 26355